UACGUAGGGGGCAAGCGUUGUCCGGAAUCAUUGGGCGUAAAGAGCGUGUAGGCGGCCCGAUAAGUCCGCUGUGAAAGUCCAGGGCUCAACCCUGGGAUGCCGGUGGAUACUGUCGGGCUCGAGUCCGGAAGAGGAGUGUGGAAUUCCUGGUGUAGCGGUGAAAUGCGCAGAUAUCAGGAGGAACACCAAUGGCGAAGGCAGCACUCUGGGACGUGACUGACGCUGAGACGCGAAGCGUGGGGAGCAAACAGG
rnacentral:rRNA from 1 species